rnacentral:rRNA from 1 species
UACGAAGGGUGCAAGCGUUACUCGGAAUUACUGGGCGUAAAGCGUGCGUAGGUGGUGAGCUAAGUCUGAUGUGAAAUCCCCGGGCUCAACCUGGGAAUGGCAUUGGAUACUGGCUCGCUAGAGUGCGGUAGAGGGUGGUGGAAUUCCCGGUGUAGCAGUGAAAUGCGUAGAGAUCGGGAGGAACAUCUGUGGCGAAGGCGGCCACCUGGACCAGCACUGACACUGAGGCACGAAAGCGUGGGGAGCAAACAGG